UCAAGUCAACCUCUCUCGGUGUUUCUCUGGCGAUGAAGUGAAAUUUGAAGAAAUGUCUUCAGUUUGGUGGAGACUUCCGGAAGACAUUCAGGUAGAUAUUUUCAUCAUAUUACCACCGUUUAAUUCAAUCUUAGCAUGUAGAUGUGUAUGUAAACCUUGGUGUAGUCUACUUUCUAAACCUAAUUUUAUCAAGGAUUCAAAGUAAUAAACCUAGAAUCAUGUUUGAUCAUUCUCUGUAUCAUAAAGGUAUGAACCCUAUCGCUCUUUCAAUAGAUCACUGCAAAUCAACUUCAUCACCAUCAUCAACUUCAGCUUCAUCAGAAUUGAAGGUUGUUUCAAUGGAUUACCCAUUUUGAAUAUGAGAAAACUAAAGCCAUUAUAACUCUGGGUUCUUGUAAUGGAAGAUUGAUUUGUCUAUACCCAACCCCAAUACGGAUUCAGAACCUCCAUUUGAAACUCUUAAUAGUUCUGCCAAAGAAAGGGAAGCGAACAGAGUUCAAGGAUUAUCCAUCAUCAGCUAAGCGUCCUGCUAUGGGUGAACCUGGGUUUCAAUCUCAUGUAUACCAAACACCCAAUGCAUCCUGUAAAAACAAUUUUCGUGUAGAUGUUUGGUUUCUGGUCACAAUUUGCUGUAACACGGCCAGGGAACUCAGAGAGGGUGGCAUUAGAUUCUUAGACUCUCUAGUUGUGCAGUAUCUGAAGCACCAACAUCGGCAGUGCCCAGCUCCUAUAACCGCUUUAACACAUCUCUCCUGCCACAUAUGUGCCCAGAACCACGACGAAGUAUUAAGCUGCUUGCAAAUGUGACAAUCUCACCUGCCAUGUGGGAGUUUAUAAACCAUUAUGUUAGUUACUCCUCUUGGAUUGUUACAGGAAACCAUUUCUCAAAAAUAUUGAUCCAGAAAGUGAGAAUUUUUGGAGAGUAGUACGGUUCAUCGUUAAUCAUUAUCACGCGUCCAUUCAGCUCUAUCUGGUGACACUCGAUCAGUUGGUUCUUUCUUCGGGCUCAUAUGAAGUACAACUCUGGGAUGGAUCUUCAGUUUUCAGGUGGUCCCAUGCAUUCUUUUGAUGGAUGCAAUGCAAGGCAGCGCGGUUCAACAACUCGAGGAACAUUUUGUCGCCCUAUCAACAGAGUCAUCACCGCGCAAAGUUUUCAUGUAUGAUGAAAGGAUGUAUUGGUGAUGCAAAGUAUUUACCACUGCCCAGCUAAGAAUGACCAGAGCUCCAUCUUUCAAGCUGAUAUGGUCUUUUGAAAUGGUGACAUUCUCUCUUGAACAAUUGAUCUUAUGCUAUCAAAGUACUGGAGAAACUAGAAAGGUACACCACAGUAUUUUAAUAUAUCCGGAGAGCUAUGUGGAAAGCCUGGUUGCAAUUAAAUCGGGUACUUAUGUGGACAAAGGACUACAAAUGGAGAUAAGAAGAAACCUAAGCGACAGAGAUUGAGUUUCCAACACUUGGUUGGUUCUUCCUUCCUCGCUAAACUUUUUUUAGCAAUGGAGCACAUAAGAUUUGGUGUUGGUGGAAAUGAUGCUGCAAAGCCUGAUUCUCACUACAAGACGAAGCAAACAGCUGUGUUUAGCUUUCCAGAAAAGGUUCUGAUGCAGAUAUUUGUAAGGGUACCUGUGAAAUCUAUCUUAAUUUGUUCCUUCUUUGAUGUGUGGGUGAUGCAAGAUUAUGGAGUAAGAGAAUCUUGGGCUAAACAUUUUACCAUUACUGAUGACCAAGUAUCAAUUACAGGGUCUACCUUCUUUAAGUCAAUAUGGUCUACUGAAGAGGAUUUACCUGAGAAUAUAGGGAGUUAUGUGGAAAGCCUAGUCCAGCUCUGGGUUCUUGUAAUGGAUUACAAAUCAAUUUCAUCAUCAGCUUCAUCAGAAUUGAAAGUUGUUCCAACGGAUUACCCAUUUUGAAAAUAAGAAAACUGAAGACAUUGUAACUCUGGGUUCUUGUAAUGGUAGAUUGAUUUGUCUAUGUCCACCCCCAAUUCGGAUUCAGAACCUCCAUUUCAAACUCUUAAUAGUUCUGCCUACGAAAGGAAGCCAACAGAGUUCAAGCAUUGUAGAUUUGCAUCAUCUGCUAAGCGUGUUGCUAUGGCUGAACAUGGGUUUCAAUCUCCUGCUGUUUACUAAACACCUAAUGCUGCCUGUAAAUACAAUUUGCAUGUACAUGUUGGGUUUCCGGUCACACCAAGCUGCUAAAAUUCCAAGUGGUAUUUUUGCGGAUAAUACUGAUGAUAUGCCAGGGUAGAUAUGUUGGUCCUCUUUGUUUUCUAUUUUAUGUUAUACUUGUACUUAGAUCUAUUUCCCUUUUCUGUGUAGUGGGGUUUCUGAAGGUGUGAGGCUAUAUGUUGGGUGUAAAGAGAAACGAUACUGGGGAUAGAACAUGGAGCAGGAAAAGGUUGGGGGAUCGAGUAGAGCAGGCAGUGGAAAUGAGGAUGGUUUGAUGCAAGAGAUGUAAGGUCCAAGCAGCAAAAGAAGUACCUAGAAAAGAGGAGUGUCAAGAAAUGAAGCGGUGGAUUUCAAGAUAGAGAAUCAAAAAACAGUAGAAAAGGAGAUGGCUCAAGGAGAAAACGAGCUCAAAACCUUCUAGUGGCUAAACUUCUGACGGUUAGCACGGAGAGUUCGGGAGAGAGAACUUUUGACGUGAGAAAUGAGCUAAAUCCAGGUACUUCUUUUGCUGUGGAUAAAGGAACUAAAUCCAGCAAUAAGGUUGAGAAUUGGGUUGAGGGAGAAAGGAGUAAGAGCAGAGGGAAGUCUGAGGCUCAAGAAGAAGAAACUAGAAAGGUUUCUUUGAGUAGUGAUAAAGCUAAGAGGUUCUGGUUCAUAGAGGAGUCAAAUUUAUGCUUCAGUAACAAAUUGUGGAGAUUGGACAUAUCAUCAGGAGGACAGGGCAAGAAUACAGAUGACCUGGAAAGAUAUACAGAUGAUAGUUUUUUUUUUAUGCUAGAUAGGAACCUUAAUAAGAACAUGCUAGAUGUUCCACCUGAUCCUGGCUUGUUUUGCUGUCAACCAGUCCCUAGUCUCUAAGGAAAGAAUGAACUCUGUCAUAUAACUCUCUCCUUUUUUAACGCAAUGAGAACAAUGGGACGAGGAUGCCUCAAGAAAAAGCUCAUGCAAACUGCGAUCCUCCGGUAUUUGGUGGGCCUCUUGGUAAAGCUCCUUCAAGAGGGGAGAAGAAUGAUUAUCAUCAUAAUUUUGUUGAUACUGGUAAGAAGCCACAAAAUUUCAUUAGGGAGCUGGAGCUAACUAAUGUUGUGGAGGACUAUCUGAGACUCCAAGAGUUUAUUCAGAAGAGAAGAAGAAGAAGAGAUCGUGGGGAAUGUGGCUUCACUCCCAUGUAUUACAAGUGCGAUCUGGGCGAGUUUAUUCUUUCUUCAGAAUCUGGUACUUAUGUGGCGAAAGCCUAGUCCGGCUCGAAUCUGGUACUUCUGUGGCGAAAAAAACUGGAAAUUGAAAUAUGGGGAAGUCCAGCUAGGUGAUAAAAAUUGAGGGUUACUCGGUACUUAGAGAUGUUUAAGGCAGUAAAGGGCUUGCGGAAGCUGAUGAGAAUGAGAGGAAUUCAUCAAGUAAAACGAGAUUGAGGCGAAGGCGGCUUCACCUCCCAUGGUUUACAAAUGUGAUUAAGGCAAUUGCUGACACACCUUCCUCCAUCUUCCUUUGGGUUGGUGAUGGUGUGGGUCUUGAGCAGGUCCGCCAAUGUGUAAAGAAGGUAUAGCAGCUGAUACUAUUGCAGCACGGCAAGUAUGUAAAGGAGCCGUGUUCUAAUAUGUUUGCAUGGACUAGGGAUUCUUUUGCUUUUGCUUUGUUUUGAGGAGCCUCUGCGACUAAAACACCACUGAAUGGUACAAUCAACUUAAGACUGUUUGGGGUUUCUGAAGGUGUGAGGCUAUAUGUUUGUUGUAAAGAGAAACGAUACUGGAGAUAGAACAUGGAGCAGGAAAUGGCCGGGGAUCGAGUAGAGCUGGCAGUUGAAAUGAAGAUGACUUGAUGCAAGAGAUGUAAGGUCUAAGCAGUGGAUUUCAUGAUAGAGAAUCGGCAGAAAGCAGUAGAAAAGGGAUUGAGGCUGCUGGUGAGAAUGAGAGGGAUGGUAAGCACGGGGAGUCCGAUAGAGAGAAAGCUGUUGAUGCG